CAGACUAGUGCGCACACAGUACAGGAGUAUGGCCUCGAUGGGGCAACUCUUCAACAGGAUUUUUUUUUUUUUUCCUUUCUAGCUGCACUGGACCUUAUCCCAGUCAGCUAAACCCCCAGAAGGUGUGAGUUGCCAUGAACAGAGUGCUUUAGGGGCCUUUCCAUUUAUAUUUAAAGACCUUGCCAUCAAGUAGUGAAUAUGUGUUUGUGUGAUUCCAUCCCAGAAUACUGCAUGCAACACUGCUCGUGUCCCUGAAAUUUGUGUUUUCUUUCUCUCAGCACAACCUUGGUCUUAGAUUAGAAGGACAGUCAGAAAGAUAGCAUAUCACUUUCUUGAGGAAUUCCCUUCAAAAAUGUGUUUGGAUGAGAAAAUAUCCAAAUGGAUUUCUAUUGCUUCAUUUAAUCAGAAAAGUAUCAUGGAUGCCUAUAGAGUUUGAUCUAAUGUUCAACAGGCUGUCGUAACACAGGGUGGUCUGUAUAGAUGUUCAUAUCUGUGUGGAAGCUUCAUCUAUUUUUUUAAUUUUUGUAAACUCAUUUUUAGGACUCCAGUGUUAGCUGCAUCCAUGUAAAACUUCACCUCAUUUGCAAAGUCAGCUCUGCAAAACUUCUAACUAAAGGCUUUGUUAUCUCUUAUUUGAAAGCUUCACUUUGUUGCUACAGAUAAAAUAAUACUCUUUUUUGGUAUCAGGUUAUUCCUGUCCAGCAUUUCCACCUUGUUGUAGAUAUUGUUAGAUCAUGUGGUUGAAGGCUCACCUCCAUGAACUUAUUCAUGGGCUUAACUUGGGGACAUCUGUUGUGCUACCAAAUGUGACACCUCCAACGUACAUAGUCCUUACACACCUUCCAGGCAUUCUGCAUGGGAAGAAAAGGAAAACACUGCAAUAGCAUGCUUGGUUUCUUUUGUCAUAUAACACCAUAUUUAUUCCAUCAUUGGCUUUCUUUUACUGUACAAAUGUGAUUUUAAAGUACAAAAUCUGUUAUAUGCGUGGCUUAGAAUCUUGCCUCUCCACUAUCUGUGAUAUGUGUUUCUAUUAAGAGAAUAGAAUAUAUUUGCAAACUGUCACACAUACCAAAGUAUA
ensembl:lncRNA